rnacentral:rRNA from 1 species
GACGAACGCUGGCGGCGUGCCUAACACAUGCAAGUCGAGCGAGUGAAUCUCCUUCGGGAGUGAAGCUAGCGGCGGACGGGUGAUUAACACGUGGGCAACCUGCCUCAUAGAGGGGAAUAGCCUUUCGAAAGGAAGAUUAAUACCGCAUAAGAUUGUAGCUUCGCAUGAAGUAGCAAUUAAAGGAGCAAUCCGCUAUGAGAUGGGCCCGCGGCGCAUUAGCUAGUUGGUGAGGUAGCGGCUCACCAAGGCGACGAUGCGUAGCCGACCUGAGAGGGUGAUCGGCCACAUUGGGACUGAGACACGGCCCAGACUCAUACGGGAGGCAGCAGUGGGGAAUAUUGCACAAUGGGGGAAACCCUGAUGCAGCAACGCCGCGUGAGUGAUGACGGCCUUCGGGUUGUAAGGCUCUGUCUUCAGGGACGAUAAUGACGGUACCUGAGGAGGAAGCCACGGCUAACUACGUGCCAGCCGCCGCCGUAA